CCUACGGGUGGCAGCAGUGAGGAAUAUUGGUCAAUGGGCGCGAGCCUGAACCAGCCAAGUCGCGUGAGGGAAGACGGUCCUAUGGAUUGUAAACCUCUUUUGUCGGGGAGCAAAAGACGCCACGCGUGGCGUUCCGAGAGUACCCGAAGAAAAAGCAUCGGCUAACUCCGUGCCAGCAGCCGCGGUAAUACGGAGGAUGCGAGCGUUAUCCGGAUGUAUUGGGUUUAAAGGGUGCGCAGGCGGAAGAUCAAGUCAGAGGUAAACUUGAGAGGCUCAACCUCUUCGAGCCGUUGAAACUGGUUUUCUUGAGUGAGCGAGAAGUAUGCGGAAUGCGUGGUGUAGCGGUGAAAUGCAUAGAUAUCACGCAGAACUCCGAUUGCGAAGGCAGCAUACCGGCGCUCAACUGACGCUCAUGCACGAAAGUGUGGGUAUCGAACAGGAUUAGAUACCCGUGUAGUC
rnacentral:rRNA from 1 species